rnacentral:rRNA from 1 species
CAGUAGCCGCGGUAAUACAGAGGGUGCGAGCGUUAAUCGGAUUUACUGGGCGUAAAGCGUGCGUAGGCGGCCUUUUAAGUCGGAUGUGAAAUCCCUGAGCUUAACUUAGGAAUUGCAUUCGAUACUGGGAAGCUAGAGUAUGGGAGAGGAUGGUAGAAUUCCAGGUGUAGCGGUGAAAUGCGUAGAGAUCUGGAGGAAUACCGAUGGCGAAGGCAGCCAUCUGGCCCAAUACUGACGCUGAGGUACGAAAGCAUGGGGAGCAAACAGGAUUAGAUACCCGGGUAGUCCCUGUCUCUUAUAU